AUUGAACGCUGGCGGCAGGCCUAACACAUGCAAGUCGAACGGUAACAGGAAGACGCUUGCUUCUUUGCUGACGAGUGGCGGACGGGUGAGUAAUGUCUGGGAAACUGCCUGAUGGAGGGGGAUAACUACUGGAAACGGUAGCUAAUACCGCAUAACGUCGCAAGACCAAAGAGGGGGACCUUCGGGCCUCUUGCCAUCGGAUGUGCCCAGAUGGGAUUAGCUAGUAGGUGGUGUAACGGCUCACCUAGGCGACGAUCCCUAGCUGGUCUGAGAGGAUGACCAGCCACACUGGAACUGAGACACGGUCCAGACUCCUACGGGAGGCAGCAGUGGGGAAUAUUGCACAAUGGGCGAAAGCCUGAUGCAGCAAUGCCGCGGGUAUGAAGAAGGCCUUCGGGUUGUAAAGUACUUUCAGCGGGGAGGAAGGGAGUAAAGUUAAUACCUUAGCCCAUUGACGUUACCCGCAGAAGAAGCCCCGGCUAACUCCGUG
rnacentral:rRNA from 1 species